AGGCUGCUGAAGCCUGAACACUGAUUUGGGAGCCAGAGGGGCCUGCUUCCUAUGGCGGUGGAGUCAUCCCCAGCUCUUCACUGAUGAAGCGGACUGAAGCUAUGUGAAGGGAAAGCCUCAGAUGACUGAAAGCUGGAUCUAAAUACCUUUUUAUCAGGAAAAGUCUGGCCCUUGGUUCUAACUGAACAGCCCAAAGCCCAUCCCUAUAGCUUCCAGGUGUGUGUGUAAAGCAGGAGUGAAGAAAAUAUGGCUUGUGGGCCAAAGCUGGCCUACCACUUGAUUGGAUCUGGCCCAAGACAUCUGACCUCCAAAACUUCACUUCAGUCUUGUGGAAUAAUCUCUUCUACACCCUGGCUUCUGCUGUUCUCAGCCAUACACAACUGAGGAACAAUGAGUGAUUUGGCGUUUGCUCUGUUCAUGAUAGCUCAUUAAUAGGAUGCCAAGGAGACCAGGGCUUGCUAUACAUUUGCCAAGAAAAUCUAGGAGUGAAAGAGGUUGUUCUUUAUAAAAAGUGACAUUCAAUAAAAGUGAGUCACAUCUGCCCUCCUGCAACCCAGCAAGAGCUGGAAGGUAUGUAGGGUUGAUAUUUGCUAUGGGCCAAAACAGUGGCUUGUCAUAUUCAAAGCAGCUAGAAAAGGAUCCAGCAGGAUAGUGGGGGUUCCUUGGUUUCUGAAUAAUCCGUAGAUGGCAUACACUCUUCAUAGCUGCCUCCGAACUAGCUGUGCUUGUCCCCUGUGCUGCACAGAAUGCACGGGGGGCAGAGACAGAGUGCAGUGUGUUCCAUCUAUCCUGGGCUGGUGAAAUGGCUCCAGAGGUCUGCUGCAGAGGUAUGACCCUGCGCAGUACAUGUGUGGGGAGGGUCCACACAUGUCCACACAAGCCCUUACCUCCUUACACAAGGGCCACUGCUGCUGUGGCAGUAACAGUGGCAUGAGCUGCUGCUGCCUCAGUGCAAGCUCCCUGAACAUGGGCUGCUGGCGCGGUGGCACUGACUCCCUGUGGGCUGCUAUUCAUGUGCCCCCUCUGAAUCAGCGCCCUGGGCUUGUGCCUCACUCAACCUUCCUCGCUCCCCAAAUUACACUACUGGUUUGCUGCAAGUCACUGCUCUGAAGGCUGCUUCAUUCUUUCCACUGAAGGGGUGGAAUGACCCUCCCCUCCCUGAUUGGAGGAGAAGGGAAGGCACUUAUUCACCAGAACUAAUCUUCAUGGACAAGUUUCUGCAACUGCCCAGCUUCAGUUUUCAACCAGCAAAAAUAUAAAGUGAAGAUAGUUGUAAUCCCAUUUCUUCCACUUCCAACAGGGCCAAAUAAGAACAUCCAGCAAUUCAGAAACAGAGCCCUGCUCACUGUUGGGGGCAGGUGCAGGGACCAUGCAGGAGCACAGAAGUCCCAGGGAAGGGCGAGACAGAAGUUUAACAGGCAGUAAGGGUCUGUCACUUUCUAAUUAUCCUUAUGUUACUUACCAAAUAGCUAGCAGCCUGAGAUUUCCAGAGGCCUUUUUAAACCAAUUCAGGCAUUUUUUUUUAAUGCAGAUGCAGUUAGGGUUUGGUCAGAAAGCCUCCUGAUCUGACCCCAGCCCCAUCUCAUUGGCUCAUAUCACUAAGACAGUUUUUAUUAAAGUGAUGAUGUAAAAUAACUCUCCUCUUGGAGGAAAUGGUGCGUAUCUCUCAUGAAAUUCCACCAAGGAAUAUAUCAGGCUGUGCUGGCUGAGGCCCAACGGAUAGUUACAGACAGCAGUAAGAGCAGAAACAGCAGCAGGGCUAACCAUUCUUAACCAUUUCAAAGGCUGACGUGACAGGAAAUGUUACUCAGCUUCCAGAAUUAAAGGGACAUGAUCAAUUUGUUCCAGACAUAGAAUUUGGAUUUUGUUUUAAAAAAUAAUGAGAAGGUAGGGAGAUAUAAAACUGGACAUAAAAAGAAAUGCCUCUAUGAUUUUUUGGUUUUAGUUAAUAAGUUUUUUAAUGGUGUUCAGCCUUUCCCUGCAGUGUUGUAAACCCCUAAUGACAAUAGACCCAUAGUAGGGAAUGUGAACUGGAAAAUUAAACUGAUGAGGGAGAUUAAAGGAAACUGAGUAACCUAGUUUCCUUUUCCAUACUGUUUAAUGGUAAUACAUCAAGCAGGAUGGGAGGUACAAAGGAACCUAAGUGAGUUAGGUGCCCUAUACCUACUUGUUUGAAAAUCCCAGCGACAAGAAUCAUAGAAGUUUCAAGCACGAUCCAGUUCAGAUUGUUAUGUACUUUCUAGUAAUUGUGCUUAGGUUGUAAACUUCUUGGGGUAGGAUGGUCUUUUUGUUCUGUAUUUGAACAGCUCCUGGCAAAAAGAAUCCCAGUUCAUAACUGUGGCUCCUAGGUGGGGCCACAAUACAAAUAAGUUACAACAAUGAAUAACUUUGUCAUCACCUUGCCUCUGGGCCUGGUUCCCUUCUCACUUAUUUCAGUUUUAUGUAGGAUGCAACGUCACUGACUUCAGUGGAAUUACUCCUACAUUACUCCUACAUUUACAUUAGGAAAAGUGAGAUCACAAUGAGGGCAUAUGUUCCUCUUAGACUUUUAAUUGCUGGUCAAUGAAUAUGUAGGACCUAUUUUGUGAAAAGCCAGUUUCCCUUUUGCACACACAAAAGCCAAACGUUAGAGGCUUGUUUCUGCACUUUGCAGAUGGAUUGAGCUACCUCCUGAAUGCAUUUGCUAUACAGAUGUUGAAGGUGUGUCUACACUGAAGUGAUUACAGAAUAAUAUAAACAUACCCAAGUAAGCUCCAAACUAGCUAGGUUGGGUACCAGCAAUAAUUUAGCUGUGGCAGAAAAGUGCUUAAUACAGGCUAACCACACAAGAAUUAUGCACCAUAGAUGGGGUUUGCAGCCUGUGGUGAGCUCCAUGUUGCCAUGGUUUGACAACUGCCACUACCUGAACUGGCUGGUUUAAGAGUAAUUUAAGAAUGCCUGUUGUAUACUUCAGUCACAACAGUGUAGAUGUAUUCCUAGUCUUGUAGUUUACCUACAGGAAUACCCUGUUGUUCAUACUAGUACUCUGAAUUUUACAUCCAUAAUUUGGCCAUGGCAACGUCAUGCUGUAGCAUCAUGGUCUUUUCCACACAUUUGCUAAAAUUAUGUAAAGAGCUCAAAUAUACAACCCAGAGCAUCAUCUCAGGUACUACUGCAUCAGCUACAGAUGUGAAGUUGAAAGAAAAUGCAUGAAUUGACAGAGCUCCUUUAAAGCUUGCAGUUCUUUGGGUUAGAUUUACAGAGCAUGGUGCCUGCAAAAGUAUUUAUUGUGGAGCUAAGGCUACAGUAAACCCAGAGAGCAAAUAUGAUGCAAAAAGGAAGGCAGGAUGAUUCAUCUGAGGAGAAGAACGAGAGAACUUAUCUGUUUUCUGCAAUUCCAUUUACCACUAAGAAAAAUGAGCCAUCUUAACAGAAAUUACGUGUGACAGGAAAGGACAAACCAGCUCAAUUCAAACAAAAGCAGUUAAGAAAACUCCGAAAUGGAUCCAAACACUCAAGCUUGAUUCCACUAGAAGGGUGAUAGUGGGUGGGGAAGCACCUUGCAGGGUGUUUAUAAACAGUACCACACAAGCAAGCCUGAUUUUUAAUAGAAAAAGCAAUGAGACAAAUGAAAUCCAGGCUGGAGAACUCUGGAAUACUGAUUCCCUGUGGUAAUAUUUUAUCAGCUCCCUGCUGCAAAAGAAAGACAACUGGAUUUAAACCAAAGCAAAUAAAUAAAUAAAUGAAAAAUACCUGAUUCCAGAGCAGGGUGAGGGGAGGGAGAAAGAGGAAAGCAGUGAAAGUGUAAAAUAAUAAUGCAAACCACGGAGACUGAGUGGCUCCCAGAAAUGCUUGAAAUCGCUCCCAAAGGCAAAGCUUUCGUUGGCUUCUCCAAUUCAUUGUUUACUUUGCUCAAGUAAAAUGUGAACCUCGAGGUCAAGAGCAUUACAUUCAAACUCUUCUCAAGUGAGCUGGUUCCUAAGCAGCAAGCGACAGCUGUCUGUUGUCAUGUUAGCAACAAUCAAACCCCAAACCCAGAGACAUUCUUAUCUCCUUUUGAAGGAGGAAAGCAUCUCAUGGGUAAAGGCACUUCAGGAGACGCUGCCAGCCUGAAUUUGCUUUGCAGCUGAGUAGUGGAGCUAUUUAUAUUUAAGUUAAUAAUAAUCAGUCAUGGGUACAAGCAGGGAAAUGAGGAUGUAUGGGCAGACGUAAUAUUUAUGGAGCUGUAAGUGCCUUAAAAGUAACAUAAAAUAUGAGUGAACAGAAAAUAUGCAAUGCUAUAAAGCUACAAAUUGGCGCAAACUGUAUCAAGUAUGAUCUUGGAUGAAAUCGGAAUAACCCUGACACUUCACAAUGACAUUUACCCCCCUGGGGAGUUAGUCAACCCCACCAGCAUCCCACAGGCUUUGCUUCUAACCUCCUGCCUCCCUGAUGUGACCUCUCUGUGAAUCUCUCUCAGUUCUACCUCCUUGAGGUCCCAGGGGCUAUGUGAGGCCUGAAAUAUUAAAAGCUAGGUACAAGGCAAGCUGCUGCCAA